rnacentral:rRNA from 1 species
GAUGAACGCUGGCGGCGUGCCUAAUACAUGCAAGUCGAGCGAACGGACGAGAAGCUUGCUUCUCUGAUGUUAGCGGCGGACGGGUGAGUAACACGUGGAUAACCUACCUAUAAGACUGGGAUAACUUCGGGAAACCGGAGCUAAUACCGGCUAAUAUUUUGAACCGCAUGGUUCAAAAGUGAAAGACGGUCUUGCUGUCACUUAUCGAUGGAUCCGCGCUGCAUUAGCUAGUUGGUAAGGUAACGGCUUACCAAGGCAACGAUGCAUAGCCGACCUGAGAGGGUGAUCGGCCACACUGGAACUGAGACACGGUCCAGACUCCUACGGGAGGCAGCAGUAGGGAAUCUUCCGCAAUGGGCGAAAGCCUGACGGAGCAACGCCGCGUGAGUGAUGAAGGUCUUCGGAUCGUAAAACUCUGUUAUUAGGGAAGAACAUAUGUGUAAGUAACUGUGCACAUCUUGACGGUACCUAAUCAGAAAGCCACGGCUAACUACGUG